UGAUGAUGAGGGGGUGGUGGUGGUGGGGGCGAUGAUUGGUGGUGGUGAGUAGGUGGUGGAGGUGGUGCGUAUUUGGUUCCUGGUGAGACAUUAUGAGAAGGUGGUGGUGGUGAGUGGUACUGAUAAGUAUGUGGUGAUGGUGGUGGUGGAGGCGGUGAUUGGUAGUAAUAAGUAGGCGUUGGUGAUGGUGGUGGUGGAGGCGGUGAUUGGUAGUAAUAAGUAGGUGUUGGUGGUGGUGGAGGCGGUGGUGAAUUAUAGUGAUAAGUGGGUGUUUGUGGUGGUGGAGGCGGUGGUGAAUUGUAGUGAUAAGUGGGUGUUUGUGGUGGAGGCGGUGGUGAAUUGUAGUGAUAAGUCGGUGUUUGUGGUGGUGGGGGUGCGUAGCUUGAUCCAGGUGACACUUUGUGAGAUGGUGGUGGUGGUGUGUAGUGAUGGCUUGGCGGGGAUGAAG
rnacentral:lncRNA from 1 species